UAUGGCCAGUUGUAAGAAA
rnacentral:misc_RNA from 1 species